rnacentral:tRNA from 3 species
GCACCCGUAGCUCAGUGGAUAGAGCACCGGACUUCUAAUCCGACGGUCGCAGGUUCGAAUCCUGCCGGGUGCGCCA